UAGGGAAUAUUCCGCAAUGGGCGAAAGCCUGACGGAGCAACGCCGCGUGAGUGAAGAAGGUCUUCGGAUCGUAAAGCUCUGUCAACAGGGACGAAACAAGACGGUACCUGAGAAGGAAGCCACGGCAAACUACGUGCCAGCAGCCGCGGUAAUACGUAGGUGGCAAGCGUUGUCCGGAAUAACUGGGCGUAAAGCGCAUGUAGACGGCAUGAUAAGCCAAAUGUGAAAUGUAGGGGCUCAACCCCUACACUGCGAUUGGAACUGUCAAGCUUGAGUGCAGGAGAGGCAAAUGGAAUUCCCAGUGUAGCAGUGAGAUGCGUAGAGAUUGGGAGGAACACCGAGUGGCGAAGGCGAUUUGCUGGACUGCAACUGACGUUGAGAUGCGAAAGCCGAGGAGCA
rnacentral:rRNA from 1 species